rnacentral:lncRNA from 1 species
GGAGAUCUGAGAAUCAAACCCAGAUCUUUCUGCCUCUACAUCACAGCCUCUUAACUUUGAAGCUGCAUUGCCUCUGGAUCAUCACUUAAAUAUAAAUAUUAGGGGCAUAGGGCUAAUAAAGGGGAGCAGACCACAGAGAACUAAUGAAAGUACUCAUUUGAUUCUAAUUAUUCAUCCACACACAGAUCAUUGGGAGAAAAUUUUAUAGAAAUGGUUUGAUAUUCUUUCUUUUGCUUCCUGUCCUGUGAGCUCUGAGUAUCUCCUCCCCCUUCUGAAGCACCCAAUCCCUGCCAAGUUCUCCCCUCAGAGUCUUCCCCCCUGUGCCCAAGAGCCAGGUUUUGCUGUGUGCUCACUCCUGGGGAGGACCUUAUCAGAGAGAACAAAAGAUACAAAGCUCCUUCUUCUGUACAUAUCCCAGACUCAAGAUGUAACAAGAAUGCCCAUGACUGGGGAUGCCUUUGCCAGUUAUGGACAAUGC